rnacentral:rRNA from 13 species
UAAUUGAAGAGUUUGAUCAUGGCUCAGAUUGAACGCUGGCGGCAGGCCUAACACAUGCAAGUCGAGCGGCAGCACAGAGAAACUUG